UCUGUAUGUUUGCAAGCAUUCUUUCAGGCAGGGCUCCUGCGGAUGGCAGCUAGAAGCUCUGAAGUUACCUCCUUCCCAGUUCAUGUAAGAUGGUAAGAUGGACAGCAUGCUUCCCCUCCCCAUCCUGACUACUUCAGGGGAGGCUUCUGAUUGGCCUGCUGGGAUCAUGUUUUCAGUGGAAGGGGGGCUCUUUGUUACCAGGACUGGCAGCCCAGAGAAAAACAUGAAGUCAGAGAAGAGUCAUUUUCCAGAAUAAAGGAGAAAGAGAAGCUGAGAAGACACCAGUGAUGAAGGUUCACUCCUGACCACAGAGCUGGGAUAGCACCUCAGAAUCCUUCUCAACACAGUGCCCAAUCAGAAUCAGCACUCAAGACAAAAUCUACUUGAGAUUUAGACCAAGCCUACAUAGAGGGAGGUUCAUGGCAUUGUAUGAAUCUGCAGAGGAUUCCACUGGAAACUAGCUGAGCCUGGGUUUGAAUCUGAGCUGUCAGGACAGCAGCGGCAGGAAGCAGCAUUCCACCUGAAGAAAAAUCGUCAUCAUCAUGCCUCUCUGUUCCUCGGCAGCCAAUGGCUGACUCACUCCCUUGGCUCUGGGAGGCUUGGUUGCUCGACUCUGAUUGUGAAGCAUGUGCAGAUAGUGUGUUCACAUCCAAAAUCAUGCAUGCACACACAACUCCUAAACACAACCUCAUGUGUCCUCUGUGCCAAUCACGCAAACGCACCAUGCCUGAAGGGGGUGUGUCCUCCCCACACAGUGGGGUGCUGACAGAAGCCAUUCUGCAAAGGCUUGUUAAUUCUUAGACAGUCGGGUGUGAAUAUCAUGCUGACAUUUAUAGCGUGUCUUCACCACACUCCGUCUCACCCACGCUGAACCACGCACCUGCAGGAGGGAAUGCUGGUAUCAAUGCAGCAGAUGUUGUGUGCCCUCGGAAUGCUUAAAUAUGUACUCUCUACAGAAGGCGUGUGUUACCCAAACACAGACCUGAGGGAGGGGGACUAGGAGGGAAGAGAAAAGGGAAGAUGUGGUCUGGCUUCUCCAAGCCUAUCUUUGGGUGCCCUGGAUGCCUGAUAAAUUCCAGCCUUGGACGAAAACAAAAGGCUUUAUCUUUUAAAACAAGUUUAGGAAGAUGUUAGAAUUUAUUAUAUAGAAAAAUAUAACAAAACAAAACAUGGGCUGUGCAGUCAGAGAAACGUGGUUUUAAGUCCCAGUUCUACAAUUUAACAAGCUACAUGACCUGGGUCAAUCACUUAGCCUCUCUGAGCCUUCUCACCAGUAAAACGGAGCUCACAGAGGUAUCUAUUUCUCAGAGUUGUGGUCAAGGAAAGUUAGGUUAGUGAUUCAUUUGCUGGAACAUAAAGAAAUAAAUACUCCUUUAUUUGAACUUCUAAGUCAUGGGUGGCAUGCCAGGGUGACUUUGUCCUGAUAUUAGGGUUACUAGGGUCCUUUUCUAGUUGUCCUGGAUCUCAGCAUCCUGCCUCCAACCCUGGUAUUCCCACGCAUACCAGAGGUGGAUCCACAGGUCAUCUCCCCUGCAGAUUCAGCCCCUUCCCAGUUCCCAAGUAUCUCUGGGCUUGAGGGGAACAUGUAUUAUGUUGCUCAACACUGUCCUGGUUGCAAGUGACAGAAAAUGGAAAUUUAUUGGUUUGUGUGAUUAGAAAGUUUGAGGGUGAGUGGGUGCAGUGGCUCACACCUGUAUUCCCAGCACUUUGGGAGGCCAAGGCAGGAUGAUCACUUGAUGCCAAGAGUUCAACACCAGCCUGGGCAAGAUAGUGAGACAUGUUUCUACAAAAAAAAAAAAAAUUAAAUACCCAGGCAGGCCACCAGCAGCAUCAGGCUCAUGCCCAGCUGAGAAAAGACAAGUCUCUAUCCCCUCAUCCCCAGCAGCAACCCUGAGAUGUGCGCUCUGGCCGAGCAGGCACAGUGCCUGGAGGAAUGCACCACACCUACUGGCUCAGACUUGGGUCAUGUGCUAAACCUGAGUGGGGAACCUCAGCUGGACAAAUGGUGGGAGGCUAGCUCCCCAGACAAAAAUCGGGGGUUCUUGCUAGCAAAGGAGGGUGGGAUGCUAUCAAGACAAACCGUAGCCAUCUACUGCAUGUGUCAGCCUCAUGUUGUGGCCCAGGGAGCUUUGCAUGGAGCCUGGUCCUGGGUGCUUUCACCUGGGACCCCAUGUCCCUGCCCUGACCACUGACCCCUUCUACAGAUCAGUCUUGGAAGAAUGGGUUUAAUACCACCUGCUUGUGUGUUGUGAGCAUUCAGUGGAGCAUGUCAGGAAAUGCUUAGUUCAUUGUGCAGAGGCAAGUCUUUAUGCCACCCAAGUCAUCUGCUCCUCCUGGAUCCAGGAGCCUUGCAGACAGGCUGGGGCCAUGACACUGAGUUCUGGCCAGUGGAAUGUGGAUGGCAAUAGUGUACACAAUUGCUUCCAGACCUGGCUAUCAAACAACCCAUGCCAUCUUCUGUGGUAUCUCCCUGGCCUAUGAUAUGGAAGCAAAGGGCUCUGAGAUGGUGGAGCCACCUGAUGCAGUAAGUCCCAAUACCUGGGUGCUGUGGUUUGAAUAAGGUGACCUGCAAAACACAUAUUGAAGUAUAAUUGCCAUUGUAACAGUAUUAAGAGGUGGGACCUUUAAAAGGAGAUUAAGCCAUGAGAGUGGGAUUAAUGCUGUCAUAAAAGGGCAAAUUCAGCCCCUUCUUGCUCUCUUUUGUCCUUCCACCUUCAACCCUGUACAGACAAGAUAUUCUUCCACCAUGUGAUAGUGCAGCAAGAAGGCCCUCACCAGACACGAGCACCUUGAUCUUGGACUUCCCAGCCUCCAGAACUGUGCUAAAAUAAAUUUCUGUUCAUUAUAAAUUAUCCAGACUGUGGUAUUUUGUUAUGGCAGCACAAACAGACUAAGAAACGUAGUCACCAUGUGUAGGAGAGCAACAAAUAAACCUUUGAUAUGUUAAGUCAGUGGUUCUCCAAGAGGCAAUGUCUGGAAAUAUUUUUGGUUGUCACCACUGGAAGUAGGGUGGGGAGCUAGUACUGGCAUCUAGUGGGGAGAGACCAGGGAUGUGGCUGAAUAUCCUACAAUGCACAGGACAGCCCCCACAACUAAGAAUUAUUCAGCCCCAAAUGUCAGUAGUGCUGAACUUUAGAAUCCCUGCUCUAAAAUGUGGGCACCUUGAGAGACGGAUGUUGUCAUUGUCCUUCUGAAAACCUUCCAAUGGCCUCUAUCACACUCAGGAUAAAUUUCCAGUCCCUUACUUUGAUCUACAAAGCCCCACAGGACCUGGAUCCUGCCCACCACCCCUCCUACCUCACAUCCCACUUCUCUUUCUCACCCACUUCUGGACCUCUUUCCAACCUAAGGACUUCAUACGUGCUGUUAAAUCCUUAAACACAUUUCUCCCUGUUCUUCCAGGUAUUCAGUUAUGGCUUAAACAUCACCUCCUCUGAGACACCUUCACUCGUCACAGUCUGUAUUAGAUUCAUUCCCACCUCUUGAUUCUCUAUUAUCGCACCACAUUGCCAUGAUCCUUUCACAGCAAUGACCGUGAUGUAAUGUGCCCUGCUUCCUUGUGGGGGUGUGGUAGGGGUGGUGUCUGCCUUCCCUCUGGAGUGUGAGGAACAUGAGGACCAGAUAAAUAAUGGAUAGAAAGAGCCAUCUUUGCAGUCAGACAGCCCUGGAUUUUACUUCUUGUUCCAGUACCAACUGUGAGUCCCUUCACUCUCCCGGCCUCCAUCUCCUCAUCUGCAGAAUGGGAAUAAGAAUACUCACAGGUUGCUGUGAGGAUUAAAUGGGAUAGUGUAAAGAGAGCACUUGGCCCAAUUCACAGUAGAGAACAGUCACUUAGAAAGUGUCUUGACUAUCAAAUGCAUGAAUAAAAGUGUAAGCACAGUCAAGUCCCUGCAUGCUGUUGUUUUUAGGGAUGAACUCUUGGGAGGAAGGUGGCAUUGGGGUGCCUGGGUGGAGGCUCCUUGGAAUGGAAGGAUGAAGAAGGUGUGUGCUUGAGAACAGAGCUCGGUUUCCCCAGGCAGCUUCUGCAUCUACCUCUCUUGACACAGCACCACAGGGGCUGGCAAGCCCUCAUUCCUCCUUUAAAACUGCGACCCUAGCUCCCAUCCUUCAAGUCACUGUCCCCAGGACUGUUCUCCCUGAUGCCUCUCUCUUGCAGGACCCAGGAGGGAGGCGGCCACCGCUGUUAUGGUCCUUCUUUGGAGAAACACACCCCUCCCCCCAAGAGUGCCUCCUAGCACUGUCUCUAUCUGUGUCUGUCUAGACCAGGCAGGAAAUUAAAGUGGGUAUCAGGACAUUUGCAACAAAUAGCUCAGGCCCCAGGCUGAGACCCACGUGUCUACAAAAAGGAAUGUGAUUGAGGGACCUCUUUCUUUCAAGUACAGUCUCAUAUCAGACUGUUGGGGCCACACAGAAACUUGGAUUGUUUCCAUCUCUGCAUGUAUGAAGGGUAAAAAGACAGCAGGGAGGAUGCAGAGAUGAUGGUGAACCAGGGGAGACAGGUCCAAGAGCCCUGUCUCCUGGGAGAGGCAGGGGACUGCGAGCUUAGGCGCUCCCGCAUCGCUGCAGGUGGGCCAGUGGAACUCCCUGAGCCUCCAUUCCCUCAUCUGUGAGGUGGACAUGUUAACAUACCUGCAGCUUAGGCUGCAGUGAAACAUAAACGAGUUAAAAUAUGUAAAGCACUCUGAUCUUUAUGCUUUCCUUCCUUCUCCUGAUUUUGGGCUUAGUUUGUUCUUUUCCUAAUUCCUUGAGUUGUAACGUUAAGUUACUUAUUUGAGAUCUUUCUUCUUUUUUUGAUGUAGGCACUUGUUAUAAAUCUUUCUUCUUUUUUGAUGUAGGCACUUGUUCAUUGCAGCAUUAUUCACAACAGCUAAGAUAUGAAACCAGCCUAAGUGUCUAUCAAUAGAUGAGUGGAUAAAGAAAAUGUGGUGCAUAUAUGUAUGCAAUGGAAAAUAUUCAGCCUUAAAAGGUGGGGGGAAUCUGUCAUUUUUGACAAUGUGGAUGAACCUUGAGGACAUUAUGCUGAGUUAAGUAAGCCAAGUACAGAAAGACAAACACCGCAUGAUCUGACUUACUGUGGAAUCGAAGAAAGCUGAACUCACAGAAGUGGAGGGUGGGAUGGCGGUUAGCAGAGGCUGUGGGAGAGGGGUGGAUGGGGAAAGGAGAUGUCGAUCAAAGGGCACAAAGUCUCAGUUGGACAGGAGGAAUAAGCAUUAGUGAUCUACUGCACAGUACGGUAACUAUAAUAAAUAGAAAUGCAUUGCAUAUUGCAAAAUUGCUAAAAGUAAAUUUUAAAUGAUUUAACCACAAAAAAGAGGUAUGUGAGGUGAUGGAUUUGUUAAUUAGCCCAGUUUAAUCAUUCCACAUUGUCAACAUCUAUCAAAACAUCACUUGUACCCCA
rnacentral:lncRNA from 10 species